GUAAGGGCCAAGCGUUGUCCGGAUUUAUUGGGCGUAAAGAGCUCGUAGGCGGUUUGGAUAGUCGGGUGUGAAAACUCCGAGCUCAACUCGGAGACGCCACCCGAUACUGCCAUGACUAGAGUCCGGUAGGGGAGCAGGGAAUUCCUGGUGUAGCGGUGAAAUGCGCAGAUAUCAGGAGGAACACCGGUAGCGAAGGCGCUGCUCUGGACCGGUACUGACGCUGAGGAGCGAAAGCGUGGGUAGCAAACAGGAUUAGAUACCCUGGUAGUCCACGCCGUAAACGUUGGGCACUAAGUAUAAGCCCUAACCAACGGGGUCCGUGCCGCAGCUAACGCAUUAAGUGCCCCGCCUAAAGAGUACGGCCGCAAGGCUA
rnacentral:rRNA from 1 species